rnacentral:tRNA from 1 species
GGGUCGUUAGCUCAGUUGGUAGAGCAGGGGACUUUUAAUCCCAAGGUCGUGGGUUCGACCCCCACACGACCCACCA